rfam:Saprolegnia diclina VS20 unplaced genomic scaffold supercont1.18, whole genome shotgun sequence.
GUGGCUUAAACUCUAUGAGUAAGGAAACUAGCGCCCUACCUGACAAGUAGGGUUCCAAAGAAUUUAUUUCUUUGGCAAUUUAUGUGGGACCCAUGGAACGGUUUUUGCGACCCACCCCCUACUUUGGGGUGGGGGGCGAGAGCCGGUCCCCUCC